GACGAUAAGGUUCAUCCUUGCGCUUAUUUUUCUCAUCGCCUGUCGCCAUCGGAACGCAACUAUGAUGUGGGUAACCGCGAACUGCUCGCCAUCCGCUUAGCCCUAGGCGAAUGGCGACAGUGGUUGGAGGGGCCGACCGUUCCUUUUGUCGUUUGGACUGACCAUAAGAACCUUGAGUACAUCCGUUCUGCCAAACGACUUAAUGCACGUCAAGCUCGUUGGGCGUUGUUUUUCGCUCGUUUCGAGUUUGUGAUUUCUUAUCGCCCGGGUAAUAAGAACACCAAGCCUGAUGCCUUAUCCCGUCUCUUUAGUUCUUCUGUGGCUUCUACUGAUCCCGAGGGGAUUCUUCCUUAUGGGCGUGUUGUCGGGUUGACAGUCUGGGGAAUUGAGAGACAGGUUAAGCAAGCACUCACUCACACUGCGUCGCCGCGCGCUUGUCCUAGUAACCUUCUUUUCGUUCCUGUUUCUACUCGUCUGGCUGUUCUUCAGUGGGCUCACUCUGCCAAGUUAGCUGGCCAUCCCGGCGUUCGAGGUACUCUUGCUUCUAUUCGCCAGCGCUUUUGGUGGCCUACUCAGGAGCGUGACACGCGCCGUUUCGUGGCUGCUUGUUCGGACUGCGCGCAGACUAAGUCAGGUAACUCUCCUCCUGCCGGUCGUCUCAGACCGCUUCCCAUUCCUUCUCGACCAUGGUCUCACAUCGCCUUAGACUUCAUUACCGGUCUGCCUUCGUCUGCGGGGAAGACUGUGAUUCUUACGGUUGUCGAUAGGUUCUCUAAGGCGGCACAUUUCAUUCCCCUCGCUAAGCUUCCUUCCGCUAAGGAGACGGCACAAAUCAUCAUCGAGAAUGUGUUCAGAAUUCAUGGCCUCCCGUUAGACGCCGUUUCAGACAGAGGUCCGCAAUUCACGUCACAGUUUUGGAGGGAGUUCUGUCGUUUGAUUGGUGCUUCCGUCAGUCUCUCUUCCGGUUUUCAUCCCCAGUCUAACGGUCAAGCAGAAAGGGCCAAUCAGACGAUUGGUCGCAUACUACGCAGCCUUUCUUUUAGAAACCCUGCGUCUUGGGCAGAACAGCUCCCCUGGGCAGAAUACGCUCACAACUCGCUUCCUUCGUCUGCUACCGGGCUAUCUCCGUUUCAGAGUAGUCUGGGUUACCAGCCUCCUCUGUUCUCGUCCCAGCUCGCCGAGUCCAGCGUUCCCUCCGCUCAGGCGUUUGUCCAACGUUGUGAGCGCACCUGGAGGAGGGUGAGGUCUGCACUUUGCCGUUACAGGGCGCAGACUGUGAGAGCCGCCAAUAAACGUAGGAUUAAGAGUCCUAGGUAUUGUCGCGGCCAGAGAGUGUGGCUUUCCACUCGUAACCUUCCCCUUACGACAGCUUCUCGUAAGUUGACUCCGCGGUUCAUUGGUCCGUUCCGUGUCUCCCAGGUCGUCAAUCCUGUCGCUGUGCGACUGCUUCUUCCGCGACAUCUUCGUCGCGUCCAUCCUGUCUUCCAUGUCUCCUGUGUCAAGCCCUUUCUUCGCACCCCCGUUCGUCUUCCCUCCCCCCCCGUCCUUGUCGAGGGCGCACCUAUUUACAAGGUACGUAGGAUCAUGGACAUGCGUUCUCGGGGACGGGGUCACCAAUACUUAGUGGAUUGGGAGGGUUACGGUCCUGAGGAGAGGAGUUGGGUUCCAUCUCGGGACGUGCUGGACCGUUCGCUGAUUGAUGAUUUCCUCCGUUGCCGCCAGGAUUCCUCCUCGAGUGCGCCAGGAGGCGCUCGAUGCUGCGUGUGAGCAGGUGUCUGAGUCCGCUACGGUCGGUGCCUUCCCGAGGCAACCUACAGUUAAUGGUCGAGUCUCCAGUCUGUCCUCGUCACUACGAGUGGAUUUAAGUUUUUUAUGUUUUGUUUUCUGCUCUGAUUGUCCAGGAGUAUUGCUUAUAUCCUUUACUGGAAUAAAGACUCUAUUUUCGCCAAGUCGCUUUUGGGUCCUCAUUCAUCUGCAUAACAUUUCCUGAGAAUUCUUUCCAACUUGUUCUUGAUUUAAUGACUCUUCCAUGAAAUUAGUAUUUUAAGCAUACAUUUUUGUAUACUGUGUUGAUAACAAACAUUGAAAGAAAUUGUAGACCACAAGGAAGUUUGUGGAAGGCUACCCAAAACGUUUGGCCCAAGUUAAACAAUUUAAAGGCAAUGCUACCAAAUACUAUUUGAGUGUAUGUAAACUUCUGACCCACUUGGAAUGUUACGAAAGAAAUAAAAGCUGAAAUGAAUCCUCUUGUCACGCCUUGGUCUUAGAAUUUUGUGUUUUCUUUAUUAUUUUGGUCAGGCCAGGGUGUGACAUGGGGUUAAUUAUGUGGUGUGUUUUGUCUUGGGGUUUUGUAGGUAUCGGGAUUGUGGGGUAGGUAUCGGGAUAGUGGGGUUGUCUAGAAAAGUCUAUGGUUGCCUGAAGUGGUUCUCAAUCAGAGGCAGGUGUUUAUCGUUGUCUCUGAUUGGGAACCAUAUUUAGGCAGCAAUAUUCUUUGAGUGUUUCGUGGGUGAUUGUUCCUGUCUCAGUGUUUGCUUGCACCAGAAUAGGCUGUUUAGGUUUUCAUGUUACGUUUAUUGUUCAAUUAUCUUUUUAUUAAAGAUGUAUCGAAUUAACCA